CAAUGGGCGAAAGCCUGAUGGAGCAACGCCGCGUGGGUGAAGAAGGUCUUCGGAUCGUAAAACCCUGUUGUUAGAGAAGAAAGUGCGUGAGAGUAACUGUUCACGUUUCGACGGUAUCUAACCAGAAAGCCACGGCUAACUACGUGCCAGCAGCCGCGGUAAUACGUAGGUGGCAAGCGUUAUCCGGAUUUAUUGGGCGUAAAGGGAACGCAGGCGGUCUUUAAGUUCUGAUGUGAAAGCCUUCGGCUUAACCGGAGUAGUGCAUUGGAAACUGGGAGACUUGAGUGCAGAAGAGGAGAGUGGAACUCCAUGUGUAGCGGUGAAAAUGCGUAGAUAUAUGGAAGAACACCAGUGGCGAAAGCGGCUCUCUGGUCUGUAACUGACGCUGAGGUUCGAAAGCGUGGGUAGCAAACAGGAUUAGAUACCCUGGUAG
rnacentral:rRNA from 1 species